rnacentral:rRNA from 1 species
UACGAAGGGGGCUAGCGUUGCUCGGAAUCACUGGGCGUAAAGCGCACGUAGGCGGCUUUCUAAGUCAGGGUGAAAUCCUGGAGCUCAACUCCAGAACUGCCUUUGAUACUGGAGAGCUUGAGUCCGGAAGAGUGAGUGGAACUCCGAGUGUAGAGGUGAAAUUCGUAGAUAGUUCGAAGGAACACCGACUGGUCGGCAAG